CCAUUUACCAGCAACACAGCAGUCCUUGCCAUCUGGCCAACCCAGGAUCCAACUCAAAAUCCUAUCUUGAGAAUUUGCUAUUAGGGCCAGUUCUGAUAUGAAAUCUUUCCUGGGUUUUCACGGAUUCAGACCUAGAGACAAUGACUCAUCUGCAAUCCUGCAGGGAAAUGGAGAUUAAUAUAUAAAAAAAGGAAGACAGUUUCUAUGUGUCCGGAAUUCGGAAAUGAUACCAUGAGGACUACGUGCUUCUGAUUCACAAUGUCUGAUGCCAUAGCAGGAAGACCCAAAGACUGGCAAUGACUCAAUGGCUGGGAGCCAGAAUCACCUGAUGGAUUGUUUGUUUACGUGUCUAGCAGGGAAGACUAGAAGUCUAUGGACCUCAGUACCUACACAUGGACUCUCUAUAUGGAAGAGCCACGUGAGGACAUAGCAAGAAGGUGACCAUUUGUAAGCCAAUAUGAGAACUUACCCCUUAGCUGAACCUCCUGCUGGACCUUGAUCUUGAACUUUCCAGGCUCCAGAACUGUAAGAAAAUAAAUCUGAUGUAUAAGCCACCUACCAUUUUGGUAGCCAAAGCAGACUGAAAUGUUAAUAUUUAUAUGUGUAGUGGAGGAAAAGGCAGCCUGUCACACCAUGUAGAAAACACAUUCCUCACUAGAAAUCU